UACGGAGGGGCUAGCGUUGUUCGGAAUUACUGGGCGUAAAGCGCACGUAGGCGGAUAUUUAAGUCAGGGGUGAAAUCCCAGAGCUCAACUCUGGAACUGCCUUUGAUACUGGGUAUCUUGAGUCCGGAAGAGGUGAGUGGAAUUGCGAGUGUAGAGGUGAAAUUCGUAGAUAUUCGCAGGAACACCAGUGGCGAAGGCGGCUCACUGGUCCGGAACUGACGCUGAGGUGCGAAAGCGAUGGGGAGCA
rnacentral:rRNA from 1 species